AUGUGAUGAUUCUGCCAAAUGAUACAUA
rnacentral:piRNA from 1 species